GUAGCCACAGUCUUGGGGCCAGAAUUGGUUAAGGCAAGUAUACAAACUGCCUGUGAGGCAACCUUGUGCCUUUACGCAAAUUGUCCUCUAUACUGAAAGCCCCUCGAAAUGAAACCCCUUUGUCAGCCGUCCUUCAAGCCUUCCCAAUCCCACACCUGGAAGGGCCUAUCUCUACACUACACCUCUGGUCUGCCUCAAGGUCACUACUCCAUCAGCCAGCUUGACAGAACCGCCCGAGUCUGAACCACCUCCCAAGGAGCCAGAGCCCUUCUGUUAGUGGAAAUGGGACUCCAGUCUUUUCGCUUGGAGUAGAGGCCUCCCGGAUGUUUAUGGGUCACCUGAGCAGCUGGUCCAAGGCCCUCGGGCUCCUUUGAGUUCCCCAAUCUUAAAAGCUGAGGCCUGAGCAAGUGGCACAGUGGGAACCCAGCAGUUGGUAAGGACAACAAUCAGGAUGCGGAGCCACCUGGUCCUGCGAGCCCUGCCUACGGCCUCAUCUCUAGGCACUGGAGAGCACUGAGGCCACCUGAGACCGACGCUCCAGUGAACACAUGACAGAGAGAUGCUUAAGGGCAAGAAACAAUGUUUCUUUACACAUGAGCUUAAAGAGCUAACAUUCAUGCCAGCUAUA